UGUCCAAAAGUUCGCGUGACUUUAGCA
rnacentral:sRNA from 1 species